AACGGCCAUACCAUGCUGAAUAUACCGGUUCUUGUUAGAUCACCGAAGUCAAGCAUCGUUGGGCGCGGUCAGUACUUGGGUGGGUGACCACUUGGGAACACUGCGUGCCGUU
rnacentral:rRNA from 1 species